rnacentral:lncRNA from 1 species
GGAUCUUGUGGGACUUUCUUAUUCAUUCGGGCUGUGUCGUCGGAGUCUCUCCGGUCCUGGCCACGCGCCCUCCUUGCCGCGCGGCUCCGGGCAGCUCCCCUCCUGUCUGGGUCUCGGUUUCUCCAACCUGGUUCCUGGCUUCUAAGCUUCCUGCGAGGGGCUGCAUAAGGUGGGGUCACUCCCCGAGAGGCACAACCUUUCCCUGUGCCCCCCCACCCCCGGUUUUUAAAUUGUGGUCGGAUACCUAUAAUGUAAAAUCCACCAUCUGAAUGAUUUUUGAGUGUCCGGCCCAGUGGCAUUAAGUGUCACCCCAUCCAGCCACAGAAUUUUUUUUUUUUUUUUAGAAUUUUUUUUUUGAUCAUCCCAAACAGAAACUAUAUCCAUGACUUUUGCUUUGUUGCAAAACUGAGUAUCUUGGCAAUGCUGAGGUCCUCCAUUGUUUUACGGGGUCGCACAGGACGCGGCGCAAUGGUUGGAUCAUCCUUCGAGUUCUUUUUUUUUCAUUUUAAAGAUUGUAUAUAUUUAUUCAUGAGAGACACACACACACAGAGGCAGAGACAGAAGACAGGGAGAAGCGGGUUCCCAGAGGAGACCCCAAUGCAGGACUCGAUCCCAGGACCCCAGGAUCACGCCCUGAACCCAAGGGAGAGGCUCAACCACUGAGCCACCCAGGCAUUCCCAUCCUUCAAGUUCUAAUCUUCCCUCAUUCCUCCCGGGUUUUCUUUCUUUCUUUCUUUUUUUCCUCCCGGGUUUUCUAAGCUUCCUACACUCUGCAGUUUAUGCUCGUGAUCACUAAGCGGUGGUGGGGCCGAGAGCUUGUUUUCUGGGGUGACAUCAAGCAUCCUUAGCUGCAGAAAGCAGAAUUAAUGCAGGACUCAACCUUUACACACGGGGACUCGACCAAACAGUCCCGGCUAUGGAAGAUCUGGAGCUGGUACAGCUGUUCUCCUGGGCACCAUAUGAGUUUGCUGGGGCUGCCAUCACAAAGUACUAGGGACCGGGCAACUUCCACACCAGAUAUUUAUUUUCUCACAAUUCUGGAGGCUAGAAGUUUGAACCAAAGUCUUGGCAGGAUUGUUUUUUCUUUUUUUCUUUUUUUUCGGAGGCCUCUCUCUUUGCCUUGUAGAUGGCUGUCCUCUCCGUGUCCUCGCGUGAUCCUCCCUCUGUCUCUGUCCUAAUCUCCUCUUCUUCUAAGGACACCAGUCCUAUUGAAUCAGGGUCCCCCCUAAUGACCUCCUUUAACUCAAUUAGCUCUUUAAAGACCUAUUUCCAAAUACAGUCACAUUCUGAGGUCCUGGGGGUUAGUUAGGGCUCCCACGUGUGAAUUCAGGAGUGGGGGGAACAAGUCAGCCCAUCACGGGCAACAGGCGGGUGAUCUCUAUCAUGGAAUGAACAGAACCCGUCUCUCUGAACAACUGUCUUGACUGGUCCCAGAGGUGGAAGGUCCAGGGACUGUUGGGGUGAUGGGCAGGGGGCGGGGGGCGGGGGGAGUCGCUAAGCCUCAGAGCACCAAAUGCUUCUCUUAUUCCUCCAGCCCAAGUGCCUCAUUGGGUCACAGCCCAGCCCCAGGCACCCCAGAAUUUUUCAAGGCUCCUCAUUACCUACAGCAGAGCCCUGACUCUCUCCACCUGGUGUUCAGGUCUUUUGGUGGUUUAUUCCCCCUCUCCUCUUGAUGCCCUAACACCCUUGUGUAGCGUCCAGCCCCCAUGCUUUUUGUGCAAGUCCGUCACCCACCAGGUCUUUUGCCUCCCCCUCAGUUCCUCCAAAUUCUCCCAGUAUUUUAAGCCCCAGGUCAAAUGUUACCUCUUCCAGGAAGCCUUCCUGGGCUACCCUUGAAAUCUCGUAGGGCCUAAUAGAAGAUUUAUCCACUGCCAAUAUCUGGAGGGCUUGGCAUAGUUAACAUAACCCUCCCGUCAGCCCUACAGUGCAGAUUCCUUUUUCCCAAACCCAUUUUGCAGAUGAGGAAAUGGAGGUGUAGCAAGAUUAAUCCCUGACCUGGUAUUACAGGAGAGGCUGAGCGGAGGACCUGGUGCGCGAACCCCACGAUCUGUGCUCCUAUCCCCUACUCUCUGGUUGGUGAGUGUCUCCGUGAUGGAUGGGCUGACCUUCCUUGCCUGGGUGGCCCUGGCACGAUGCCUCCUCCAGGGUGCAGGAAGCUGGGCAGACACGGGGAGAGGGAGGGAUGAAGGGCGCCAGGGCGGAGGAAGGAGGGUGGCGGGCAGCAAGAGGCUAGGGCGAGAUUGAUCAUCUGCAGAGCUCUGGGUCCGUGUGGCCACGUGGCCGGUGGCUUUUGUGGAGAUACGUCGCGUUGCAGACUCAGCACUUGGCUGGCUUCCUGUCACUGCCGCUGCCCCAGCCUCUGCCAGGAAAAGGGCCUAGUGGGGCCUGGUGCUGCGGGGUAACCCAGGCCGGGUCCUCUGGAGCCUCUGUCGGGCAGCGUGGCUUUCUCCUCCGCGGCGGGGAGGGCGGUGAUCUGUGGCCCGAUGGACUUGGGUUCAAGUUCUGGCUCUGCCGCCUCCUGGGUGCCUUUGGAGUGCCCUUUGACCUCCCUGUGCUCCUCCAUGCUCUACUUUGUCACACCUUUCUCGGGGCGGGGGGGCUGUGUCAGCUCAUGCGGGCGUCCUGGAGGCCGGUGCCGACGUCAUAAGUGGCCAGCGAGUGAGACCCAGAGUAAUAGUAAUGAUGGUGGCAAGGGGGGCACA